rnacentral:rRNA from 1 species
UACGUAGGUCCCGAGCGUUGUCCGGAUUUAUUGGGCGUAAAGCGAGCGCAGGUGGUUUAUUAAGUCUGGUGUAAAAGGCAGUGGCUCAACCAUUGUAUGCAUUGGAAACUGGUAGACUUGAGUGCAGGAGAGGAGAGUGGAAUUCCAUGUGUAGCGGUGAAAUGCGUAGAUAGAUGGAGGAACACCGGUGGCGAAAGCGGCUCUCUGGCCUGUAACUGACACUGAGGCUCGAAAGCGUGGGGAGCAAACAGG